CUGAAUACAACAGGUGUAGUAGACCUUACAGUGAAAUGCUGAAUACAACAGGUGUAGUAGACCUUACAGUGAAAUGCUGAAUACAACAGGUGUAGUAGACCUUACAGUGAAAUGCUGAAUACAGCAGGUGUAGUAGACCUUACAGUGAAAUGCUGAAUACAGCAGGUGUAGUAGACCUUACAGUGAAAUGCUGAAUACAACAGGUGUAGUAGACCUUACAGUGAAAUGCUGAAUACAGCAGGUGUAGUAGACCUUACAGUGAAAUGCUGAAUACAACAGGUGUAGUAGACCUUACAGUGAAAUGCUGAAUACAGCAGGUGUAGUAGACCUUACAGUGAAAUGCUGAAUACAACAGGUGUAGUAGACCUUACAGUGAAAUGCUGAAUACAACAGGUGUAGUAGACCUUACAGUGAAAUGCUGAAUACAACAGGUGUAGUAGACCUUACAGUGAAAUGCUGAAUACAGCAGGUGUAGUAGACCUUACAGUGAAAUGCUGAAUACAGCAGGUGUAGUAGACCUUACAGUGAAAUGCUGAAUACAACAGGUGUAGUAGACCUUACAGUGAAAUGCUGAAUACAGCAGGUGUAGUAGACCUUACAGUGAAAUGCUGAAUACAACAGGUGUAGUAGACCUUACAGUGAAAUGCUGAAUACAACAGGUGUAGUAGACCUUACAGUGAAAUGCUGAAUACAGCAGGUGUAGUAGACCUUACAGUGAAAUGCUGAAUACAGCAGGUGUAGUAGACCUUACAGUGAAAUGCUGAAUACAACAGGUGUAGUAGACCUUACAGUGAAAUGCUGAAUACAACAGGUGUAGUAGACCUUACAGUGAAAUGCUGAAUACAACAGGUGUAGUAGACCUUACAGUGAAAUGCUGAAUACAGCAGGUGUAGUAGACCUUACAGUGAAAUGCUGAAUACAACAGGUGUAGUAGACCUUACAGUGAAAUGCUGAAUACAGCAGGUGUAGUAGACCUCACAGUGAAAUGCUGAAUACAACAGGUGUAGUAGACCUUACAGUGAAAUGCUGAAUACAACAGGUGUAGUAGACCUUACAGUGAAAUGCUGAAUACAACAGGUGUAGUAGAC